AAAAUGAUAGAGAAGAUAGCAA
rnacentral:snRNA from 1 species